AAACAAUUAUAUUGGAACAAAAAACACCAAAUAAAUUUUAAGAUCGUAAUUUAGACGAAGUUAUGUAGUACUUUCUCCAUUUCUGAGGAAGUGUAGACUUGACGCAACAGUUCAGGUUUCCAUGUGUGACUGAAGUUCCAGUUAUGGAAGCAGAUUUUUGCAGAUAUGCGGGUCGCGGGAUGCUUUGCACACCAUCACUCUCAUUCCUCUCUUCAGUGUUUCCUUUCAUCGUCGUUUCCUUGUAGUUCCUGAAAAAUCUUUGUUUUAGCCAUGUACACGCUUAACAAUGCCGGUUGAAACCUCUUCUCAUGCUUCGGUGUUUAUUUCCGGGGGCAUGUAGGUUGCGGCCUGGUGUCUCACAAAGCAAUAUGCACAAUGUCGGUCAGUGAAAUUCAUUUGCCAUCUUCGUUUCCUCUUUACUUCACUUGUUUCUGUCAUGUGCAUAGCCAUAUUUUAUUGUGAGUUGAAAUUAUAUAUUUUGUGAUUGACCUCUCUUUCAACUCCUCUUAUUAUAGAGGUAUGGCUUAUGAGUAGCUGUUUAUUUUCUCUUAGCAAACUGCCUUGAUCAUGAUUUUUCCCAGAUAACAAAAUUAUUAUAAAAUAUUAAAAAUAGUCGCAUUCUUCUCACAUACUCCAUUAUACAGUUCAGAAUUUAGAAUGUCUAGUAGAUACCUUAUACAGUUCAGGAUUCAGAGGAAGUACGCGGAUUUUGAGUGCUUUUCCUGUUGUGCUAUCCCCUUUGAAUUUUGAUCUGUUAAGACACAAAAUAAACCCAAAACUCCAGCUUGAAUUAUGCAUCAUUAUCUCUUUUGGAUAGUACUUCUUUCAUCUCACUUAGAUUGCAACACUUGAGCUCAAAAUUUGUAGCGCAUCACAUUGUGAAAUGUGUGUCAUUCUCAUUGGGAUGGAGACACUAAUAUUAAGAUAUUCUCGUUGUCUGUCAAUAAAAAAAAUAAAAGACUGUUUUAUUAAGAGUGACAUUGUGACGCUUUAAUCGUAUUGCAAAUUGACUGAUAGUUCUGUCAAGGACAGGCAGGUAUUAUACUGAUAUUUAAGUUCCACGAGCGGCCGACAAAAUGAAAGUUGGCCGUCAAUGUAGAGAUUUUUGUUAUAGUAUCUUCUCCCAUUAUGAGUUUCAUCAAUAUUAUAUCUUGGGUUGACAUAGUAAAGUAAUCAAAUAAUUAAUGUUAGGUUUAAAUUAUAUAUGGAGCUGCUUUGGCUCUUUUGAACAAAAAAGGCAGUUAGGCUAUUAUUUUAUAUUUUUCUGGGACCAAGAAAAGGGACAGAAUUCUAAACAAUUUCUGAAUUGAUUGGGGCAUUCAAAUGGUGUACAGUGGCAUCUCUACAUGCAUGACCUUCUCAUGCAAUAUACUCCAUUAUGUUAACUGUUUUGAAUGCUUAAACAUUCUAGUAUUGAAUUACAUAGGGCACUUCUACCCACUGAAACUAUGUACAUGAUUGCUGCAAUUUUGAAAAUAAUGCUCAGACACUUACGUCUACAAAGCAUAAGGCGAGACUAAUAUUGCCUUUUCCCCAUUUUUUUAAUAGUGAAAUUCUAACUGCUAAUAGAUGCUCUUUUAAGGAACCAAAUUUGAUGAAAGGGAAUUCAGGAAAUCAAUCCAAUGCUCUUCUUGCUCAUCAUCUUCUUCGCCUGCCACUUGAUUCCAUUGUAAGUCUUGAAAGUUGACAGGUUGUUCGACUUCAUCAUUCUUUGCAAAUCGACCCCUUACUCUUGGCCUGCUAUCAGCUAAUGUCUUCCUACAUGCAUACUGAUGACCAAGCAUUGCAACCGUAGAAAAGUUAGAUGAAGACCUUUCAGUGCUUGUAAAAUUUUGAUAAAUGACAUUUCUCUUGAUAUACAUUGAAAUCCUAUGCUGAAUUCCAUUCAGUAUAAGAAAUUUACAGACAUGACUUGAGGAUCUGGCUGUCUUAACAGUUAACACGUUGAGAUUAGCGGCUUUAAAAAAGAUGACUAUGACUAAACACUAAACAUGAUGAUUUUGUUUAUAUUAGUGGGAGGGACUGUGAUUCUCAGCUUUCGCACGUCACCAAAGCCCUUAAAUUCCAAGGACCUGUGUGAGUAUCAUAUCUUAUCAUGUUAAGGAAGGGUAAAGCUUGAAGGAUAGUCUAAUUACCUGAAUUUUCUUGUUGAAGUUCCUCUGACUUCUCUUGCUUCGGUACUUCUCUAUUCUUUCUUUCUUCUCCUCGGGACUGUAGCGACAUGCCUUUGUCAUACCUUCAAUGAUAAUGCUCGUGCUUUCAUUUCCCGAUGGGCUUCCUAAGUGGUGGUGGUGGUGGUGGAGUAAGGUUUUGACUCCCUGCCAUGAGAAUGUUCAACUGUGUUGGCUACCAGCUAUGCAGAAUUUAUAAUGACAAAUUAUUAAAAAAAAAUUAUGCGACACUUCCUGAUGAUUUUUCCUGUUUUAGAACCAUUGCAACUUUCUCGUUAUGCCUAUUUCACUGACUCAAAAGAAUUUACCUGAUCCAAAUCACCAGUGCCAGAGACCCGUUUCACCGGGCCAAUAUCGAGGCCAACAAAGCCAGCAGCAGAUGAAACUGGUAGAUGAAAUCUGUUGUUCAGGAGCGAGUGGCUACUGGGCCUUUGCUGCAUCAAAGUGGUAGGAGUAUAUGCUAGAUGGGUACUAGUAUAGCUAAGAGGCGAAGUAGGUGAUCCUAUGUAACUAUUACUUGUACACCCACUCCCCGUACUUGUAUUCCCAUCAACGUUUGCGAGCAUGAAAGCUUCGUUCAUGGAUUCAUAGUCGUCUGUAAGAGACCGAACUAAUAUAUGUGCUAAACUGGCUGGGUUACUUUGAUUAAUGAAAUCUGAAGAAUGAUCGUAGAAAGAGCUGUUAUUUUGU